CAGGGAGACAACAAAAUGUUUAAUAUUAUUUUGUCACCUUAGGUCGAUCGGUAUCUCACGUUCUUAAUUAAUUAAGAAUUUCAUUUUCUAAGUUUUUCUAGGUCACACCCAUUAUUUUUCCUGGGCCAUUAGCUCAGGUGGUUAGAGCGCACCCCUGAUAAGGGUGAGGUCCCUGGUUCAAGUCCAGGAUGGCCCAUAUCUCUAUGUUGGGGGUAUAGCUCAGUUGGUAGAGCGCCUGCUUUGCAAGCAGGAUGUCAGCGGUUCGAGUCCGCUUACCUCCACUGAUUACCACCUCUUCCAUAAUCCGUAGAAAGGAAAUGUUUUGAGUUGUGAUCAAAUUCUGAACGAAUCUAGCUUCCUAAUAAAAUUAUUAAGAUGCUGGACUCAUUGAAUUAAUUUCAUUGUUUUCAGAGAACCUUGACAACUGCAUAGAUUAUUUUUUUAAAGACAAUAAGCAUCUUUAAUGAUGCAGAUUUAUUAUUUGUGCGAAUGCAUUAAUAACAAUUCUAUUAAGCUGAUGCUUCAAUUUUGAAGUUAUU
rnacentral:tRNA from 1 species